AGUGAAUUAGGUUAGUGGCAGACCGGGGGCCUUCAAAGUUUCGAGCGUUGGUUUGACUCCAGCAUUCAUUG
rfam:Amphimedon queenslandica AMPQTscaffold_11839_Cont13831, whole genome shotgun sequence.